AGCAGCCGCGGUAAUUCCAGCUCCAAUAGCGUAUAUUAAAGUUGCUGCAGUUAAAAAGCUCGUAGUUGAAUUUCGGGACUAAUAUGUUGGUCGUGCCUCGGUACGUACUGAUAUUUUUGGUUUCUCCCUUCUGACGAACCUUGAUGUCAUUAAUUUGGUGUCUUGGGAAAUCAGGACUGUUACUUUGAAAAAAUUAGAGUGUUUAAAGCAGGCUCACGCUUGAAUACAUUAGCAUGGAAUAAUGAAAUAGGACGUUUGAUUCUAUUUUGUUGGUUUCUAGGAUCGACGUAAUGAUUAAUAGGGACAGUUGGGGGCAUUAGUAUUCAAUUGUCAGAGGUGAAAUUCUUGGAUUUAUUGAAGACUAACUACUGCGAAAGCAUUUGCCAAGGAUGUUUUCAUUAAUCAAGAACGAAAGUUAGGGGAUCGAAGACGAUCAGAUACCGUCGUAGUCUUAACCAUAAACUAUGCCGACUAGGGAUCGGAUGAUGUUAAUUUUUUAAUGACUCAUUCGGCGCCUUAC
rnacentral:rRNA from 1 species